CCUACGGGCGGCAGCAGUGAGGAAUAUUGGUCAAUGGCCGUAAGGCUGAACCAGCCAAGUCGCGUGAAGGAAGCAGGAUCUAUGGUUUGUAAACUUCUUUUAUAGGGGAAUAAAGGUAUCCACGUGUGGAUAUUUGCAUGUACCCUAUUAAUAAGCAUCGGCUAACUCCUUGCCAGCAGCCGCGGUACUACGGAGGAUGAGAGUGUUCUCGGGUUUUAUUGGGUGUAAAGUGUGCGUAGGCGGGCUUUUAAUGCUGCGUUAAAAAUUCGGGUCUAAACCCCGUCCGGCGGUUGAAACUGGGGGCCUUGAGUGGGCGAGAAGAAGGCGGAAUGCGUGGUGUAGCGGUGAAAUGCAUAGAUAUCACGCAGAACCCCGAUUGCGAAGGCAGCCUUCCGGCGCCCUACUGACGCUGAGGCACGAAAGUGCGGGGAUCGAACAGGAUUAGAUACCCGAGUAGUC
rnacentral:rRNA from 1 species